UACGUAGGGGGCAAGCGUUGUCCGGAAUUACUGGGCGUAAAGCGCGUGUAGGCGGGUCGGCAAGUCGGUCGUGAAAGGCUUCGGCUCAACCGGAGAUGGCCGAUCGAAACUGCCGUUCUUGAGGGUCGAAGAGGAGAGUGGAAUUCCUGGUGUAGCGGUGAAAUGCGUAGAGAUCAGGAGGAACACCCAUGGCGAAGGCAGCUCUCUGGUCGACCUCUGACGCUGAGACGCGAAAGCGUGGGGAGCGAACGGG
rnacentral:rRNA from 1 species